rnacentral:rRNA from 1 species
GUGGGGAAUAUUGCACAAUGGGGGAAACCCUGAUGCAGCGACGCCGCGUGGGUGACGAAGUAUUUCGGUAUGUAAAGCCCUAUCAGCAGGGAAGAAGCUGACAGUACCUGACUAAGAAGCCCCGGCUAACUACGUGCCAGCAGCCGCGGUAAUACGUAGGGGGCAAGCGUUAUCCGGAUUUACUGGGUGUAAAGGGAGCGUAGGUGGCAUGGCAAGCCAGAAGUGAAAACCCGGGGCUUAACUCCGCGGAUUGCUUUUGGAACUGUCAGGCUGGAGUGCAGGAGGGGCAGGCGGAAUUCCUGGUGUAGCGGUGAAAUGCGUAGAUAUCAGGAGGAACACCGGUGGCGAAGGCGGCCUGCUGGACUGUAACUGACACUGAGGCUCGAAAGCGUGGGGAGCAAACAGG